CAAAGAUUUGGUCCUAAUCUUAAUGUUACUUCUUACUAAACCUACACAUGUAAGUAUCAGCAAACCAGUGAAAAUGCCCCAAAAGUCACACCAGACAAUAGGAGCCGGUAUCAGGCACGCCAUGACAGCCCAAAACGCCUUGCUUCGCCACACCCCCAAGGGUACUACAACAGUGAUUAACCUUAAGCAAUAAGCCCAAGCUUGACUUAGUUAUAGUAAAUCUAAACCACAGGGCUGGUAAAUCUCGUGCCAGCCACCGCGGUUAUACAAGAAGCCCAAAGCAACAACAACACGGCGUAAAAUGUGGUUAAACCAUAAUACCUAAUAAACCUAAAGCCAACCCAACACCAAACUGUCAUACGUAAAGUAUUAGUCAACCCAAUACCAAAAAUAGCUUUAGUACAACAGACAACUUGAACCCACGAUCGUUAAGACACAAACUGGGAUUAGAUACCCCACUAUGCUUAACCCUAAACCUAGAUACUUCAAAUACAAAAACAUCCGCCAGAAAACUACGAGCAAAACGCUUAAAACUCCAAGGACUUGGCGGUAUCUCAAAUCCCCCUAGAGGAGCCUGUUCUAUAAUCGAUAAUCCCCGCUAAACCUCACCAUCUUUUGCCAACACAGCCUAUAUACCACCGUCACAGCCUACCUUAUGAGAGCCAUAAAAGUAAGCCCAACAGCUCAAACAGCUAACAAGUCAGGUCAAGGUGUAGCUAACUAAGGUGGAAGAAAUGGGCUACAUUUUCUACAAUAGAAAUCACCACAGAAUAGACUCAUGAAAUACGAUCUAAAUUAAAGCAGGAUUUAGUAGUAAACUGAGAAUAGAGAGCUCAAUUUAAAACGGACCUGAGAUACGCACACACCGCCCGUCACCCCCAUCAAUAUAUGCCCGACCAGCUAAAUAAACACCCAACAAACAAACAGAUGGGGUAAGUCGUAACAAGGUAAGUGUACCGGAAGGUGUACUUGGAUUA
rnacentral:ncRNA from 1 species